GAAACUACGAAAGGUAGUGCGGGCCCCGCACAAGCAGCGGAGCGUGUGGUUUAAUUCGAUGCUACACGAAGAACCUUACCAGGGUUUGACAUACAAGUAGUAGGGAAAGGAAACUGGACCGACCCUUCGGGGAGCUUGAACAGGUGCUGCAUGGCUGUCGUCAGCUCGUGUCGUGAGAUGUUCGGUUAAGUCCGCUAACGAGCGCAACCCUCGCUGUGUGUUACAAGUGUCACACGGAACUGCCGGUCAUAAACCGGAGGAAGGUGGGGAUGACGUCAAGUCAGCAUGGCCUUUAUAUCCUGGGCUACACACACGCUACAAUGGGAAGGGACAAUAGGUUGCGAAACCGCGAGGUGGAGCCAAUCCAGCAAAACUUCCCUCAGUUCAGAUUGCAGGCUGCAACUCGCCUGCAUGAAGUUGGAGUUGCUAGUAAACGCAGGUCAGCCAUACUGCGUUGAAUACGUUCCCGGGGCUU
rnacentral:rRNA from 1 species